CAGUGUGUUCUAUCCUCGCACAGAUUUAUCGAGAGCCGAUCGUGAUCCCAGGUUGUGGAAACGGGCGAGACACGAAGAUGUUCGUCUCCUUUCGGGAAGCGGGCUCGCGCUGAGCCGGGAUGAUGGAAUCGAUGGAAUGAUGGCUACGAAUAGGAGAGAGAGAGAGAGAGAUGAAGCAUGAAGAUGAAAAAGAGAUGGGAAGCGGUUUUUCAGACGGGAUGGACUUGGGGAGUUCGACGAAGAGAACUGCGUUGAAGCGGAUCAGUUUAUUGGCGAUUUUCUGCGCGAAUUGUUGUGCGUACUUUGCGGUGUGAUUUAAAAAAAACGUAACGCGAUUUGUUGUGCAACUAAAUUAAUACUUAUAAUAAAUGUCUGUGUGUUUAAAACAGUGAUUAAAAUAAGAAUUUUAUUAAUUUUGUGA